rnacentral:rRNA from 1 species
UGGGGAAUAUUGGACAAUGGGCGCAAGCCUGAUCCAGCAAUGCCGCGUGUGUGAAGAAGGCCUUCGGGUUGUAAAGCACUUUUAUCAGGAGCGAAACGCUGUCGGCUAAUACCCGGCGGAACUGACGGUACCUGAGGAAUAAGCACCGGCUAACUUCGUGCCAGCAGCCGCGGUAAUACGAAGGGUGCAAGCGUUAAUCGGAAUUACUGGGCGUAAAGCGUGCGUAGGCGGUUUCUUAAGUCUGCUGUGAAAUCCCCGGGCUCAACCUGGGAAUGGCAGUGGAUACUGGGAGGCUAGAGUGUGUCAGAGGGUGGUGGAAUUCCCGGUGUAGCGGUGAAAUGCGUAGAGAUCGGGAGGAACAUCAGUGGCGAAGGCGGCCACCUGGGACAACACUGACGCUGAGGCACGAAAGCGUGGGGAGCAAACAGGAUUAGAUACCCUGGUAGUCCACGCCCUAAACGAUGCGAACUGGAUGUUGGUCUCAACUCGGAGAUCAGUGUCGAAGCUAACGCGUUAAGUUCGCCGCCUGGGGAGUACGGUCGCAAGACUGAAACUCAAAUGAAUUGACGGGGUCAU